UUUAUGGAGAGUUUGAUCCUGGCUCAGGAUGAACGCUGGCGGCGUGCCUAAUACAUGCAAGUCGAGCGAACGGACGAGAAGCUUGCUUCUCUGAUGUUAGCGGCGGACGGGUGAGUAACACGUGGAUAACCUACCUAUAAGACUGGGAUAACUUCGGGAAACCGGAGCUAAUACCGGAUAAUAUUUUGAACCGCAUGGUUCAAAAGUGAAAGACGGUCUUGCUGUCACUUAUAGAUGGAUCCGCGCUGCAUUAGCUAGUUGGUAAGGUAACGGCUUACCAAGGCAACGAUGCAUAGCCGACCUGAGAGGGUGAUCGGCCACACUGGAACUGAGACACGGUCCAGACUCCUACGGGAGGCAGCAGUAGGGAAUCUUCCGCAAUGGGCGAAAGCCUGACGGAGCAACGCCGCGUGAGUGAUGAAGGUCUUCGGAUCGUAAAACUCUGUUAUUAGGGAAGAACAUAUGUGUAAGUAACUGUGCACAUCUUGACGGUACCUAAUCAGAAAGCCACGGCUAACUACGUGCCAGCAGCCGCGGUAAUACGUAGGUGGCAAGCGUUAUCCGGAAUUAUUGGGCGUAAAGCGCGCGUAGGCGGUUUUUUAAGUCUGAUGUGAAAGCCCACGGCUCAACCGUGGAGGGUCAUUGGAAACUGGAAAACUUGAGUGCAGAAGAGGAAAGUGGAAUUCCAUGUGUAGCGGUGAAAUGCGCAGAGAUAUGGAGGAACACCAGUGGCGAAGGCGACUUUCUGGUCUGUAACUGACGCUGAUGUGCGAAAGCGU
rnacentral:rRNA from 1 species